rnacentral:rRNA from 1 species
UACAGAGGGGGCGAGCGUUGUUCGGAAUUACUGGGCGUAAAGGGCGCGUAGGCGGCAUCGCAAGUCGGAUGUGAAAUCUUAUGGCUUAACCAUAAAAGUGCAUCCGAAACUGCAGUGCUUGAGUACUUAAGAGGAUCGCGGAAUUCCCGGUGUAGAGGUGAAAUUCGUAGAUAUCGGGAGGAACACCAGUGGCGAAGGCGGCGAUCUGGGUCGAUACUGACGCUGAGGUGCGAAAGCGUGGGGAGCAAACAGG